AACGAACGCUGGCGGCAUGCCUAACACAUGCAAGUCGAACGAGACCUUCGGGUCUAGUGGCGCACGGGUGCGUAACGCGUGGGAACCUGCCUUUAGGUUCGGAAUAACUCAGAGAAAUUUGAGCUAAUACCGGAUAAUGUCUUCGGACCAAAGAUUUAUCGCCUUUAGAUGGGCCCGCGUAAGAUUAGCUAGUUGGUGGGGUAAAGGCCUACCAAGGCGACGAUCUUUAGCUGGUCUGAGAGGAUGAUCAGCCACACUGGGACUGAGACACGGCCCAGACUCCUACGGGAGGCAGCAGUGGGAAUAUUGGACGAAUAGGGCAAAAAGACCUGAUCCAGCAAUGCCGCGUGAGUGAUGAAGGCCUUAGGGUUGUAAAGGACUCUUUUACCCGUACGAUGAUAAUAGACAGUAUCGGAGAAUAAGACUCCGGCGUAACUACCGUGCCAGCAGCUGCGGUAA
rnacentral:rRNA from 1 species